UACAGAGGGUGCGAGCGUUGUUCGGAAUUACUGGGCGUAAAGCGCGCGCAGGCGGCUCUUUAAGUCUGACGGUGAAAUGCCGGGGCUCAACCCCGAGCGUGCCGGAGAUACUGGAGGGCUGGAGACGAGUAGAGGCAAGCGGAAUUCCGGGUGUAGCGGUGAAAUGCGUAGAUAUCUGGAGGAACACCGGUGGCGAAGGCGCAUCCUGGACCGGCAUUGACGCUGAGGCACGAAAGCCAGGGGAGCAAACGGG
rnacentral:rRNA from 1 species